rnacentral:rRNA from 3 species
GUUGGGUAGGGGAGCGUUCUGUAAGCCUGUGAAGGUGGCCUGUGAGGGUUGCUGGAGGUAUCAGAAGUGCGAAUGCUGACAUAAGUAACGAUAAAGCGGGUGAAAAGCCCGCUCGCCGGAAGACCAAGGGUUCCUGUCCAACGUUAAUCGGGGCAGGGUGAGUCGACCCCUAAGGCGAGGCCGAAAGGCGUAGUCGAUGGGAAACGGGUUAAUAUUCCCGUACUUGGUGUUACUGCGAAGGGGGGACGGAGAAGGCUAUGUUGGCCGGGCGACGGUUGUCCCGGUUUAAGCGUGUAGGUGUGUGUUCCAGGUAAAUCCGGUUCACUUUAACACUGAGGCGUGAUGACGAGGCACUACGGUGCUGAAGCAACAAAUGCCCUGCUUCCAGGAAAAGCCUCUAAGCAUCAGGUAACAUCAAAUCGUACCCCAAACCGACACAGGUGGUCAGGUAGAGAAUACCAAGGCGCUUGAGAGAACUCGGGUGAAGGAACUAGGCAAAAUGGUGCCGUAACUUCGGGAGAAGGCACGCUGACAUGUAGGUGAAGUGAUUUACUCAUGGAGCUGAAGUCAGUCGAAGAUACCAGCUGGCUGCAACUGUUUAUUAAAAACACAGCACUGUGCAAACACGAAAGUGGACGUAUACGGUGUGACGCCUGCCCGGUGCCGGAAGGUUAAUUGAUGGGGUCAGCGCAAGCGAAGCUCCUGAUCGAAGCCCCGGUAAACGGCGGCCGUAACUAUAACGGUCCUAAGGUAGCGAAAUUCCUUGUCGGGUAAGUUCCGACCUGCACGAAUGGCGUAAUGAUGGCCAGGCUGUCUCCACCCGAGACUCAGUGAAAUUGAACUCGCUGUGAAGAUGCAGUGUACCCGCGGCAAGACGGAAAGACCCCGUGAACCUUUACUAUAGCUUGACACUGAACAUUGAGCCUUGAUGUGUAGGAUAGGUGGGAGGCUUUGAAG